rnacentral:misc_RNA from 1 species
AACGCACAUUGCGCCCCUUGGUAUUCCGAGGGGCAUGCCUGUUCGAGCGUCAUUAUCACCCCUCAAACUACGGUUUGGUGUUGGAUUCAACCAUCUCUACUGCUGGUUGGUCUCAAAGAUAGUGACGGCGUCCUAGAAGGAACCGGUACGAGGAGCUUUUAAUUAGGCAUGUAUCGGCAGGAUUCUACGCGGCGGCGGUCUUUUACUUAAAAAUUUUAACAAGUGUUGACCUCGGAUCAGGUAGGAAUACCCGCUGAACUUAA